rnacentral:RNase_P_RNA from 2 species
CCAGCAGGCCACCUUAUCGCUGCAAGUUUGGGCAACCAUGCUUGAAGAGGAAAGUCCGGACACCAUAGUGCGGCAUAGCGGGUAACGCCCGUCCGCCGAGAGGCGAGGACCAGUGCAACAGAAAGCAAGUACAGUUCGGCUGUAGUGAAAUCAGGUAAACUCUAUGCGGUGAAACGUCAUGUAAACCAACGUCCCGAUAGCUAUCGGGAGAGGGCUGCACGCCCGAGUUGGAGGGUAGGCGGUUGGAACACUUGGGCAACCAUUUGUCUAGAUAAAUGAUAAGGGUAUACAGAAUCCGGCUUAUGGCCUGCUUUUAUU